UCUCAUCAUACUUGAAAUCGAGUGAAGACAAACUGACGUGCAUUUCACACGAUGAAAACAAACCUCAUCCUAACAACUCUGGGACAUACAGAUCAAAACACCAGAUGGACGUCUCGCCUUGGAAAACACCAUGCAUGCAAUCCCUGAGAACCCCAAGAAUGGCCACCGCCACAAGAACCUCACUCCAUUCCCACUGACAUGAAGCCAUUCCGUUCAUUUUUGCCGAUCGCAUAGGUCCCACAGGUAAUCUCAGAAACUGUCUUAGUGUUGAACGUGCAAGCACUGAAUAAAUACUUGCUACGCUGA